rnacentral:rRNA from 1 species
UACGUAGGGUCCGAGCGUUGUCCGGAAUUACUGGGCGUAAAGAGCUCGUAGGUGGUUUGUCGCGUCUGCUGUGAAAACCCGAGGCUCAACCUCGGGCCUGCAGUGGGUACGGGCAGACUAGAGUGCGGUAGGGGAGAUUGGAAUUCCUGGUGUAGCGGUGGAAUGCGCAGAUAUCAGGAGGAACACCAAUGGCGAAGGCAGAUCUCUGGGCCGUAACUGACGCUGAGGAGCGAAAGCAUGGGGAGCGAACAGG